rfam:Candidatus Kaiserbacteria bacterium RIFCSPHIGHO2_02_FTLL_55_17 rifcsphigho2_02_scaffold_51953, whole genome shotgun sequence.
GCGGGCGUAGUCUAACGGCAUGACGCGACCCUUCCAAGGUUGAGACGCGGGUCCGACUCCCGCCGCCCGCA